rnacentral:rRNA from 1 species
AUUGAACGCUGGCGGCAUGCCUUACACAUGCAAGUCGAACGGCAGCGCGGGAGCAAUCCUGGCGGCGAGUGGCGAACGGGUGAGUAAUAUAUCGGAACGUGCCCAGUAGUGGGGGAUAGCCCGGCGAAAGCCGGAUUAAUACCGCAUGAGACCUGAGGGUGAAAGCGGGGGAUCGCAAGACCUCGCGCUAUUGGAGCGGCCGAUAUCAGAUUAGCUAGUUGGUGGGGUAAAGGCCUACCAAGGCAACGAUCUGUAGUUGGUCUGAGAGGAUGAUCAGCCACACUGGGACUGAGACACGGCCCAGACUCCUACGGGAGGCAGCAGUGGGGAAUUUUGGACAAUGGGCGCAAGCCUGAUCCAGCAAUGCCGCGUGCAGGAAGAAGGCC